UUUUUUAUUCUCUUCUCUUCUUCUCUCUUCCCCCUCUCGCUCCUCACCGACGCCGACUUACCGUUCGAACGAGAAACCCAAAAAUCGACGUUUUCUGACGGCUGCCACUGCAACCACAACAAUUCGACUCAAGAGAGUGCUAACAACAACAACAUUCGAGCUUUGCGUGCUCGAAUCUACCCUCGACCGAAGAGUUCCAAAAGCCCAGCUUGCGGUGUUUAUUUUUCCGGGAAUUUCAGGCCUUUCCUACCUUUUUUGGGUCGGAGAGGGUAAUAUUUUUCCUCUACACCCUCGAAUUAUCUUAAAUUGUGAGCUAAUCGGAGUCUGCAAAUUUUUCCACGGCACCACCAUUCCAUCCGCGACGUUUUGCAAAACCCGCUUGACCGAAGGGAAGCCAUUUAUCGUGAUUGCCAAAGAAUCUCUCUUCUGACUGCACAGGUAUGAAAACAAUAGUCCUGACAUCAUCACUGAUACAAAUCCUUGCUAAUUUGUCGUCAUGGUUAAGAUUAUUGUUUCAAUCGGGUUGUGUUUUUGUCAUAAGGAGGAUUUCCGCAGGGUGAGAGAGGAAUUGGCUGAAACUCAUAAACCAAUCAUCGGUGGAAUUGAACGUUAGGAGCAAAACUAUUUUUCAUUAGAUAAGGAGCAAAACUAUUUUUCAUUAGAUAAGGAGUGAGCAAUGUUGAAUGCUAUCAGUUCUCAUAUGCUGCCUUGACAUGAAAACAUAAAUAUUGACGAGAAUUGCACGUCUAUUGCAUGAAAUCAUUUAUUUUCAUCCUAUUUUGCGUGUUUAGGGAACUUGAAUGAAUGGUCAAACUAUACCAUCGUAUGCAUUGGCGUUGAACCGUGCGCAUGCAUCCCUAAUUCGCCGCGGGUGGACGUUAGCCUUUUCUCCUCCCCCUUCAGUACUCAUGUGAGUCUGUGACUCAAGUCUAACACUUAAUCUUCUGUUUGGAAAUGCCUCUGUUUUUUUACUUGCUGAAAACGCCUCUGUCAAAUUUUUUUUAAAGGCCUUUUCUUUGUUUCAUCUUAUCUUCCUCCUUUUCUUUGCCCAGUUAUGCCUAUGUCAUCUCUUUCUAAUUUAAAUGCACUCAUUUAGUCACUCACAUUGUAUCUGAGAGCAGAUGAAAAAAGAGGAAAUAGGGAUUAUAUAUGUAAACUCUCUGUCUCAGCUUUGCUUAUAUGUCCCCCAUUUGUUUUCUUAUUCGUCAAUAUUAGAACUGCCAAUCCAAAUUCACCUAUUUGCUCGUCAUGAGACUAAUUAGAAUUAGCUAUCUUACGGAUGUGUUAAUUAAAAAAAGUCUAGCCAAUUUUUUGCAUGUUUAAGUAGUAGUAAUUAAACUCAAAAGAUGCUCAAGUGCUUGAAUUUUUAACAAUGUUCCAUUAGAGGAUCAAGCAUUGUAACUUAAUGCUGCCUCAUUGGGUUGUCAGCUUUUGUAUGGAUGCAAUUAGUAGAAAUUACGUUUUCAUUGCUACGAACAGUUUUGUUUUCAUUGAUGUCUGGAAAGAUUUGGGAAAACAGGAAGAAUUGUGUAAGAAUGUAGGUUGGUGUAUGUCUAAAAUUACAAGUUUUCUUCAUGCAUGUGUUUUUCUUUCUUCCUAGCUAUCUAUCUGUUGUCUCAGGUUUCAAUUACAUUCACACGAUAUUUUAACGGACUGGGCCAGAAGAACAUCUUUUUGGCAACGAUGAAGAAAGAAGAGUGAAGUCCUGAGGAACAAUCUGAAAGUUGGGACAUGAAAAGCAAAAAUAUUUUGGUGUGUAUUAUAUCUAUAUGAACAGCUUAGUCUCCAACUUUUUUAGCUAUGUAAUGUGUUCUACAAACACCUAUCUUUUAUUCCUUAAUGAACAUAAGGAUGUAAAUAGAGUUUGAUAUGGAUGUAAAUGGAUUUUAACAUAUUCUACACGUUUAACACAA